GCGGAGCAAGGAGCUUUACAUCAACAAUACUAUCUUUUUCAAACUGCAUUUUCUUUGUCUGGUCCCGAUUCCCAACAAUUCGAAUAAAGAAAUCCUCAGGAAUCAUUUUUUUGAGCUGAAUGAGUCCUCCAUCCUCAGAUAAAGGCCUCCAGAACAUGUUAGGAACAUCGCGGUGGGUCUUUAACACGAACAGAAUGGCGGCUGUCGGCGGUUAGACCCAUAAAAGAUGCUCAGUAACGACACGACAAACACUCGUCGCUAAAGUCGCUCAUCAAAGUGAACAGCCGUUACCGUGCCCACACAUCACAUCCCAAACGCUCUCUCCGCCGUAAUGAGAGCAGCGCCCGAACCAGGGCGGCCGGGGUGGGGUGGGGGGGUCUGACAGAUAUUCACUCUGAUUGGAUAAAAUAACAAACAGGUUAAAUGUAGUUAUGGGCUCAAAUCUGUCUCUGGCACACAUGUUCCGGAGCGAAUAUCAAAGGCUCCCAAUUACGCCGCGCCGCAUUCAAACCAAUUAUCCUCCACAUCAUUAACAUUCUCCGUCAGACGCGUGCUACUUUAUCUAAGAGAGAGCAGCAAUCAUGAAAUAUGCAUGAUUUAUUAGUCUGACGACAGAAAAACAAACAAUGGCAACCCGGAGCGCGUGACACCCUCUCCUGACAAACAACUGCGGCCGCCGCCGCCGCCGUUCAGUGGCCUUCCAAGAGCUCACUCCUUAUUGGUGAGCGUGGUUGCCAUGGAGACUCAAACCGAUGUGAACCAAUCUGACGACAUCUGGCUCCGACAUGGUGACGUCCGUAUCAGGAGAAAGGAGAAGUAAAUAAACCACUAAAAGAAGGAAAAUCAGGUGAGGCGUUCAAGGACCAUAGAAUCAUGGAGGGUCUCAUCUUCAUCGUUCGUCUCACACCUGGUUUCCCUUAAACGCAUACAAACAGAAAACAGGUGGUGAGACGGCGGAGCUGCAGCAGCGUAAGCGUCCAUUUACAGAGUCACUGAUGUGAUAAUUACUCUGUGUGUUGCCUCGACUGCCUGAGAAUAUGCAAAAACCCUCUAAAGUCAAAGAGAAAUAUCCUCCCAGCUUCCGCACAAAUCACCGUCAUAAAGGACAAAGUGCCGCUUGGCCGCUCCGGAGACGCCGUUUCUCCGGCGAUCAGCGGGAAGAUGAGUCGCUUCGUUGUUCUAUGGUGUUCUGCUCGGCUGGAGUCUGCACACAGGUGGAGGCGUGUCUGUCUACUCUGAGCUGCUUGCGGGACUUCCGCGGUCAACCACAGAUUUUCCACAAUUUUUAGACAAUGCCAUGUUGGUCCACAUCCCAAAAAUCUGUAAUAUGAUUGAUUUCCUCGUUGUUGGAUAUCUAACAGAAGACAGCUCUGUUAGGCUCCGCCCACCACAGCAGGUUUUAUGCUUUCCAGCCGUCGAUCGACAUUCAUCUUCUGCCUUAUUUAUUAAAAUAAAAGAUCCCUUCUGUCCAAAAACUACAAAUAAAGGCUAUUUUCUCUCUUUAAUUCAAUAAAAUCUCAAGAAUAUUCAAAUACGUUUGAUCUUAUGCUGAUCUCACAGAUGCACGUCGGCUCCAAAGAGUUAACUUUCAGGAUCAGUCUGGUGCCAUUUCUGUAAUUUGGGGUGCUUUUAUUAAAUAAUGAUGGGUAAAAAAAAUGUAUUUUAGACACUUUUGUUAAGUGUUCAGCUCUGUAGGCGAUCGCCUACCUUUGCCUAAUGGCAAGUCCGGCCCUGGCUGGAAACUUCGACAUUCCACCUAUAAAGUUAGGUCGGAGCUGUGAGGGGCUGUAAGCUAGCGGGAGGGGGUGGGGUGUAAAUAGAGAACUCUCAGCAAAUGGGAGGAGCUUAUUCAGAUUUAGAGCUGAAUUUCUGAUACAUUUCUGUGGAAACUUUGACCUAGAAAAUGACAGAUUUUUUUGAUUUUGGCUAUAAACGAGAUAAUUAUAAUUAAAUCAUCAGUGGGAACGAUUUGAAAAUAGGUCAAAAGUGAGUGGAAUGUUAAAGACAAAUCUUUUAAGAAAUGAUUGAAUCUCUGAAAAUUAAAGUAUAUUUGUCUUUUUCUCUGUUGCCCAUCGACUUCUUCUUCUCUCUGCUCCUCAUUUCCAUCAUCUUUUCCUCCGUUCUGCAUAAACUCUUGCAGACGAAUGUUCCCACAGCACGCCGCCGUCUCCACGCUGGACUCCUCGCUGACAUCACGGCGGUGAUUGGCGGCGCUCACGUCGAGGGGAGUUGUAACCCCGGUUUCUUUGUUCGAUCAGAUCAAAGGUUUCUCCCUCGCUCAUUUAAGGGGUUUCUGACAAACUCCCAGCGGGACGGCGAGCACCUUCCAGUGAGGACGGACUUCUGUUUGGCCACUCUACCAUAAACAUUUGAUUGGUGGAGCGCCGCCCUCACGGUUCUGCUUUGAUUCGGCUCUCUGAUCCCCACAAAGACCUGCUGGUUACCUUUCUUUAACCCCAAUUACUCUGUUUGGCUUGGGGACAAAUGUGGGAAAUCUGUGAUUCCAGACUUCCAGUGGAGAGGUCGUCUUCCAGCUGGGAAAGUGUCGGUUCGAUUCCCAAUUCCAACAUGUCAGUGAGCAUUCAGGAGAGCGUACGCCAACACUGUUGAGUUGGUACUGUAAUGCAAAUCGUUGUUUAAAAAAACCUUUAUUCAUAAAGCUCUUUUCUUACAUCGUAGCACAAAGUGCUAAAUACAUAUUCUUAACCUAAAGACCAAAAGUUAAACAAAAACUGUCACAAAAAACAAUAAAUAAUAAAUAAAAUCCACCAUUUCAUGGUCAUCUGGUGUAAUAAUGACAAAUAAUUGUGUUUCUUUUUAUCACAGAAGUGCUGAAAGCAUAAUUGGAUGAGUCACUUUAGGCACUUUAGUCAAUAAAAAGAAAUUAUAGGUUAUCAGCUUUGAAGAAAACUGAGAGCAAACAAAGAGGCUGAAGCCUGAGUGAAGCAAAAAUGAAAACUUACCACGAGAUGUCUGUUAGAUAAACGUUAAUCACAAAAUUCUACAUUCUGAGGAAACAUUUCUACUGAAAUCUACCUUCAGGUAAAAGGUCUCAGAAACUCACAUCAGAGCAAUAAUUCAAUAUUAUAUACAACUUCCUGUGUGAAUAGCAUUUUCAACCAGAAGAAUCAGAAUAGCAACAACUUAAUCUAUUUUCUACAAUCUUAAAAAAUUAAAAUCAAACAUUUUAGACACAAAUAUUCCCUAAAGCGGAUUAAAUCUAUUUAAUCUGACCCCCUAAAAGGGAUUAAAUUAUGUGACAAAUUAGGAUAUGAAAAGGACGACUUCUAGUCACAAAAAAAAUAAAUAAAU